ensembl:lncRNA novel transcript
CUCACAACCAAGGGGUGGGAAGGAAAAGGGACAGAGCGAGACAGAGCGCCCCCGAGAAACACAGGCGCACAAAAAAAGACAGAAGGAAAAACGGAACUGAGAGCCAGCCAGCAUGGACUGCGACAGCGUGAGAGUGCAUCAAAGAGGUGGCGAAGAAAGCACUAGAAGGCAAAGGAGAAGUGGAGAGAAGAAGAAACAAAUGGAGGAAGAAGGAGAAAGGGAAAAAGCAGACGGAAAAAGUGAAGUAGUACGAGGGCGUCCCAGCGGGGCGGCCCGAGAAGCUCCAGCUUCUUCCCGAGCGGCCGCCGCUAUCCCCCGGGGGGGCGUCUGGCCCCACUCCGGACCACGCCCGAGCGAUCCUGGUCGCCGACUGCCACAGCCGUGCUUCCCGGCGCGGGAUCCAAGCCGCGGAGCCACCUGUUAGGCGCGCGCCGUCGGAAGCCCAGGCGCGGCGGCGCUGGAGAAUCCUCUCGAAGUUUCCGGGUGCGCGGGGAGGCCCCAGGUGCGCCCCGACAUCCCGACACGGCCCAGCACGGCUGGAAGAUACUCACCAAACAAACAAACAAUGAAUCUUGAUGGUUUGGAGGCAACAGAGAGGGAGAGGCCUUGCAAAAAUUCAGAUCCGCACAUGCAACAUCUCUUGGCAGACAGACAGCAAGAAGAAACGAAACCAGAGGAGAAGAAUGGAGCUGGAUCGUCUGUGAAGACCCUGCCAGGCUGCAAAGAAGCUGCACUCAUAAUGCAGAGAAUGCAGCUGGAGGAGCUCUUUGAUUUAACUGUUGUUACUGAAAUCUGUGCAGCAUCAAGUGACUUAGAGCAGGAAGUUAUCUUAGAAUUCUGGAAAGAUUCAAGAAUGCAUGUCUUCCUACUAGAUUGUAAGCUUGUCGGGGCCACAUCUAUCCUGUUUACUACUGAAUCCCAGCUGGCAGAAAGUAGUCAUUUCACAAUAUUUUUGGAGCAAAUGCAUCAAUCAGACCAUCAUGUGUAAGGGAGGUCACAGGAUGAAGGAACAGUGCAGUGACCUGGAACACCAUGCCACGCUGCUGCAACUGUGUCGGUCCGUGGCUGUGUGUGCGUGCUCUGCACCCCUAGAUGAACUCACCAAACAGCAUCUACGGAAAAGCCCAUGAACUGUUGCUGCGAAGCAAAGUUCUGUUUUUCAGUGGACUCCAUAUCUGUGUCAUCCAAGACGCCUACUGUUGACAUAAAGCUGCUGCAUACGGAAGGAGGAAAAUCGUGGGAGAGAAAGUAAGCCAUAGAGGAACCCACCCUGCAUUGUGAGUAAAUCUUGCUGCUGUUGACUCUUUGGGUCCGCACUGCCUUUGUGAGCUGUAACACUCACUGCAAAGGUCUGCAGCUUCACUGCUGAGGCCAGCGAGACCACGAACCCACCGGGAGGAAUGAACAACUCCGGACGGGAGGAACGAACAAACUCCGGAUACGCCGCCUUUAAAAACUGUAACACUCACCGUGAGGGUCCACGGCUUCAUUCUUGAAGUCAGUGAGACCAAGAACACACCAAUUCUGGACACAGUAAGAGCCUUUGAAUCCUGUACCUCAAAAUCUUUGCCUUGCUGUUUCCAUUAAUGUUGGGCUUUUAUUUCACAAUCCUUACCUGAUACUAACUCCCUAUUAUGAAGAACUGAUCUGUAAACCAAAAAUAAGAUCCCAAGGUCUCCCGGCCACCUGCAGGGACUUUCUCUUAGGUCAGGGCACUCUAAAAUUUAACCUGAAAGACUGGUUCAGGCCAUUAUGGGAAGUGGGAGUUGAAAUGCAUCAUUAUACCUCUUCCGCAUUAACAUCAACAGACUUUAAGUCUGAUGAGAAACAUUUACAAUCUAUUUGCUCUAAAACCUGCUACCUGAAGGCUUCAUCCGCAUGGGAAACCUUUGGUUUCCACAGCCCAGACAUUCCUUCCCAUUAGUAACUCUGUCAACCAAUUGCCAAUUAGAAAAAAUUUAAAUCUACCUAUAACCUGGGUUCAGCUGACCCCCCCAACCCUGAUAGCUGUCCCACCUUUCUGGAAUGAGCCAAUGUAUUUCUUGAAUGUACUUGAUUGAAAUCUCAUGUCUCCCUAAAAUGUGUAAAACCAAGCUUCACCCUGACCUUGGGCACAUUGUUCUCAGGAUCUCUUGAGGGCUGUGUCAGAGGCCGUGGUCACUCAUAUUUGACUCAGAAUGAAACUCUUCAGGUAUUUUACAGAGUUUGACUCUUUUUGUUGACACAUCUGAAUCAAAUUUCCAAUUCUUUAUGAAUUCUGACCUCACUUUUCCUCCAUCCGAGAUGCUUCCAAAGCACUGUCAAAUAUUGCUUUCUCUUAGCGC